CAAGGGGACAGUGGGCCGCUGUGUGAGGGUUAGCUCAGAGGAGGCAGCGGGAGCCCUCCUCAGUGUCACGCUUCUCCUCUACGGCACCUACAACCCACACAGCAGCCUGCACGAACCCCUGCAGAGUUUUUUGUCCAUGGGGGCAUACCACCCGGUCCCUCGGGCGGGGCUGUACAUCCGGGACAGGGACCCACCUCAAGACCUGAUCCAAUGGGCCUUUGAGCUAGAGAGAGACAGGAAGGUGGGCACUGAUGACAUCCCCGUCCCGCGCCAACUCAAGAAUUCCAAACUGGUUUACCUUCCGGUGCAGUCCUUCAAUUCUCUGGAUCUGGAUGAUACCGAUGGAACAGACCUCCAACUCCCAUCUGAAGCUCAUGUGGAACACUCUCAGGGAUAAAGUGAAGACCAACUGGUUUCUCCAUAAGUCCAUUACAGGGAAUCAGUCUCCACAGUUACCAUAGGCAGACAUUGCCCUGCAGAACUUCCAGGGAGCAGAUCCAGUGGUGGGGGUGGAGCAUCUUGGGAUGAUGCAUAAACUCCAUGACAGCGUGGGCGGAGUCACCAGGUCCUCACCACCUCAGAAAAGGACACAGCUAUUGCAUGAUGUCGCCGUGGAUGUCCGAGAGAUGCACCUUAAGGAUCUUCUCCAAACCAGCAGAGCACCGGCACGCAGGGCAGACCAUGGGCAGGGGCAGAGGAGGAGGGGCACCGGGCAGUGAGGGCAGGGGCACAGUUGAAACAGCAUAUCUCAGCCCUGGUCCAACAGAGACUGUAAAGAGAACUAUGGGAUCUGUAGGUUUACAUUUGCCUAAAAGUUGGAGCGAGAGAGAGACAUUUUCAACAUAGCCUUAAAGAGGGGGAUGAGAGGAUGAGGUUGGUGCUUAAAAUACAUUCUCACACUCUUACACAAAAAUGUUUUUGUUUAAAAAAAAAAAAUCUGCACAAUUCUCAAUAACCACCUCCUAUUUUGACUCUUGCUGCCAAAGUUGUAAAGGUUAAUGAAAGUUACAUUUGUGUUUUUGUUUUUACUUCAUGGAAGUGUGAAUUCAGCUCAGGAAAUGAAUUACAUUCUCAUUAACUGACUGUGUCAUUCCUCAUUGGGUUGGACAAACAACAAAUUACAUUUCAGCUGUCUAAUUUCUCUCUGUCCUCGACUGAUCUCAAAUAACCACAUGAUAAUCCAUGAUAAUAA